CAAUUGUGCUUGUUUUGCAGAAUUUCCCCCACUGUCAUCUUUAUUUGGCAAAAUCUCUCAGGAGGAUCAAAGGCAAACACUGUAGAGGCGGAGAGGAGCAAUCAGGGAGACUAUGCUUUGGCGCUCUGUUAAUUCAAUAUGAAAGCCUUGUGUUUGCCAUGAUGUAUUUUGAUUUAAGCUUGCGAGAAGAUGGCCAUCCAAGACCAUUCGCAACCCAAUUAUCUUGGGUAGGCAAGUCUUGUCACUAUAAACCCCACCAAAGCUGUCAGAGCUCCCGUCACGGACAAGGCAAGAUGCAGGCGCUGUCAUCGUUAGUGGGUUAUCCUCACGACCUCGUGUAGAGUAUCAGCUUGUACCAUUAGGCCACAAUCACUGGUGAUUAGCUGUCCCCCAUAGUUCUGUAUUAGCGGAAUCGCAAGGGCCAUUCGGAAAAUACAAACUAACCACAACAAUCAAUCGCAUUUUUUAGACUUGGUUUGGGAAGUACCAUGUUAUGUCUUGUUGAUUUUUGGUUUUAGUCGGUUGAGUAUGUAGUUGACUAUGUGUAUAAUUUGUUUGUCUGAUUACUCUUGUAAUUGUUUAUUUCCCAUGACAAAGUAAUUUUUACUGUGGGC